ensembl:processed_transcript
GUGCAACGCUUGGCACACGCACGGCAGGACUUGAAGCACAACCCGCGCAUCCAGGUCAUCCUUCGGGCUCACCCAGGAGGCUACAGCAUCGCAGAAGAAAAUAAAGUCCUGAAACAUGACGGAUCCCAUGUGAGGGGCCGCCCAAGCCAGCCCCCGCCCUGCCCUCUGAGCCCCGCUGCCCGGACCUGCACAACACCCCCAGGAUUGACACCAAUCAUCAUGCAGAUGCCUCGGAAGGCAGAAUCCUUCUCCUCGUUGUCCCGGAUGUUCCUAAGGGACGUGCACCUGGCCAUGGAGGAGGGCAGCAGGUCCCACCCAGACAGGCACACACCAAGGCCGGAUGAACUGCUGCAGCAUGGGUGCCACCUCCUGCGGGCACACGUAGCCCAGGCGGCCGAUGGUGAUGGCUGGAAUGGCAGAGGGACUCGUCAGGCGACCUGCAACCCCGAGUGGCCCCGGGACGGUCUUAGCAGCCUUCCUUCCGGGAACGGCCCCCUCAGCCCCGGCCUGGUACUCACCUGUGUUUUCCAGCAGCGUCUUGGGCGUGUUGGGCCUGUUAAUGAUCUCCACCAGGUUGUUGAGGACCAUCUGCACAUAAGGCUGCAUCUCUGCCCCUAGGGAGCAGCCAUUCAGAGCCCUGCAUGGCCCACUCCACCCACAGAGUGCCAGCUGGGCAUAGCUGACCUCACGCCAUGAUCCCAGUUACAUGCGGACUGGCAUACCACCACACCCGAGAGAACAAAGACCCUUCUCAGGAUGCUCCCCACCAAGUCCGCAGCCAACACACAACAGAACCACCCAAAGGAGUCUCUGAAGUCAUUACCCAGAAGGUAACAAGACCACUCCACCCAGUCUUCCCCAAGGACAGGAAGUCAAAGUCACUGAUCCCAGUGGACCUUUCAGAAAAACAAUUACACGAGAUGGUCCGGUCAGUAGGAACAAACUGUCUACCCCACGUCAUAAAUGGCCCUUCAGUUAUUUGACUUCACUUGUCAGGGAGAUCAAAGUAUGUUCUUUCCCCUGACCAAUAGGACGGAGACAGAGCAAUGAAGAGGCAGGCAGUCUGCCACUGUCGAGGCACUCACCCAUCUGCAUGCAGAUCUCCCCAAUGGCCCAGGUAGCAUUGUUGCAGACAGAGAUGAACUCAGGGUUCAGGUUGGUACCCAGAAUAGGCAUGAACUCAGCUAAUGCAAAGAGCAGAGCAGGGAGGGGAGAAAAAAAACCCCAACUGAGCAGAAAGGCCACUGAGGCCCGCCAAGCUCCCAGAACUGACUGGGCAGCCCCAUCAGACAGUACGAAUACAUCCCAGUCAGGUCAUGGGCCUCCCAGGGUAUGUCUCCAUCACUUGAGGCCAAUGUUGAGGUCAUGGGACGGGGGCAAACAGGGUAGCUUACCGAUACAGGGCUUGACGUGGAUAAAGCAGGCUUUGGUAAGGUCUCCCAGAAGGGCAAAGGAGCUCUGCCGGACCUCAGGCAUGGAAUCCUGGAGUUGGGAAAGAUGGCAGAAAUGGCAGGGCUGCUCCUACUCCUUCCAUCUAAGCCAUUGGAGGUAGCACAGUCCCCCUCGAGCACACCCUGACCACAAAUACUGAGGUACAUGUCUGUCCACCAUGUCCACCACACAGACCUUACUUCACUAGCCUUCUACUAUACUACAUACAGCCUGUUUCCCAGGACACGGGGUUGGAGUUCAUUGGUAAGCAUUUACUUUGAAAAAUCUCUAGAACCCCAUUUUACCCCUACCUAUCCCGCCUCCCAAAACCGCAAAAAAUAAAUUGUAUUACAU